rnacentral:misc_RNA from 1 species
AAGUCGUAACAAGGUAACCGUAGGUGAACCUGCGGUUGGAUCAUUAUUGAAAAAUAAUAUCAUUUUUUUUUAAAUAGGAAAGUGCCUAUGAACCCCUAAAAGGGGAUAGUAGGUCUUCCUAUUCAAAAAAAAAAAUAUCAACCUAAACCUUGUGAAAUGAUAUAAUCAUGUCUUUGGAGUCACUUAUUGUAUUAUGAAAGGUCUUAACAACUUUUCUUUUAAUACAAAGAUGAGGACUCCUACUUAUAAACUUAUUUUUAAUAUACUUAUUCUUUUAAUACUAAAAAAAACGAAUAGCCAAUAAGGAGAAAUCUUUUAUUUGUACUAAUCGUUUUUGAAAGUUAUAAUAACAAAUACUAGUAAAAAACUUUUGACAAUGGAUCUCUUGGCUCUC